UGAUGCUUACUCAUUGGGUCUGACCAACUUAAGUGAAGAAAAUGACCUAAAGCUGGUGUUCAAACCCAAGGUCCUCAAUUACAUUUUUCACCGAGUACACUCCUCAAGAAAGAAUGACGCCAUUGACCGUGGAUUCCCUUUCAUGGACACCCCCUGCCUACAUUACUAGGAUGGUUUAUCAGUGAUUAUUAAAGUCCGUUCAAAUCCAUUCCACUCUCUUGUCGCUGAUCCCCAAAGCCCGCCACGAUCGUGCUCAGUUACUAUGUAGGGUCACCAUCAACGUUUAGCCCUCAACGUAUUUUGGAUAAUUAUACGUUUUGCAUUUUAGCAGGAACUGCCUACCAGUGCUAAGGUGUGUGUUUCUUGUUUUCUCACUGGAUUAAGAUCUCCUUGAAAGCAAGAGUAGAGUCUUAACCCAUAUUUGGAUAAUCUGUGCUUACUAGUCUGUAUUCCCAUAUUAUCUCAUUCAAAUCACCAGUAAGGUACUGAUUAUAUGACUUAGUGGCUGUUUACAUUUCUGUCUUCGUAGGUAAGCUACGAUUUUUUUCUAUUGCAAGAGCAACACCACCUGUGUUUUCUCCCUAGUGGUGAGCCCCAGUGCCUGGCACAUGGUAGAUGUUCAAUAAGUGUUUGUUGAAAGAAUGAGUGCAGUCAGAUUUGACUUUGCCAGAAAGAGCUGACUUUGUAAGAAGUUGAUAAAUUGAGCUGCUUUAUGAUCAGUCUAAAACGUAGAAGGUGAUUGCCUCUGAAAAUAGGAUGCAUCUUUUCUUUGUUUCUUGGCAUUUUUCCUAUUAGGAGUAGAACUUGAGCAGAUUAAAUAGGACUCAAUCUCGAAUCCACAAAUGACACCAAGCCUGAAAUGAUGCUGAGGUUGGAAGCGAUUUAGUUCACUUGAAUUUUAUUUGGGGGAUAAUGUUUUCCUUCUGGGAAGAGAAAUGCUAAUGAAAAAAUCGCCUCCCGACUACAACGCAGAAGUAAUAGGAAUCUGGCCAGAAAUAUGAUCUUAUGAAAAUUCUCCAAGCAAAGCAUCUUAUACUCAUGUCUGUGCCUUUGGAUUGACAUUCUGAUGUUUGCCUUUCUCUGGUUUCCAGAGCUCAGGGUGGAGAGAGGCGCCAGGGUAACAAGCCAAAUAGGUCUAUUAUGGGAUGUCAUGCUCACUGGGCAUGAGUGCUGUCUCCUAGGACAUUUAUAGCGUUCAUUACUCAGUCCAACUUUAAUAACACAUGGACAAGCCUGGGGCAAUUUGUAAAGGAUCUGAGAGUUUUUUUGUUAUGAAAGUCUAUAUUAUAGAAUUAGCGGGUCUCGGGAUUGGACUCGAUUGGAAAGAUGAUCUCAUCAAAGGACCCAUAGCUCUCUACUGGAGAAGAACUGCUUUCAAUAACCCUGACAUUGUAAAUGGCCAUGGGUAUUGGGGGACCAUUUGUAAGACUAAGUUAACAGAUGGUGACUGUUAACGUUGGAAGUUAGGAUAUGGGCAAAAUGGCAAAUGCUGAUUCUACUUUUUCCCUGCAGCCAAGGGAGCUAUGAAGAGGUGGGACAGGGAGUGGCCAGCCAUCCUAACCUUUCUGCUAUAAACCCUAGAGAGGAGAACAUGAGGGGGAUCAGUGAUGUAAGUCAACCAAGAGAGAUUCCGGUGUCUUCUAGAUUAGCGUUUCUGACCUGUUCUCCAGCUCACUCGGAAGACUUGAUAAAAUUCAAAUUCAGACUCAGGAGUUCUGCGGUAGGGUCUGAGAUUCUGUACUUCUAACAAGGUUCCAGGUGGUGCCAGUGCUGCUGAUACAUGAGCCACAUUUUGAGUAGCAAGAUUCUAGAAUCUACCAUCCGGGUCAGUCUGUUGGAUACUGAGCCCCAUGUGAACCACCUCAAAUAGAGAAGAAAUAGACUCCAAGCAAAUAAGGAUGAAAAGAUUACUGAAUUAUAGGUGAUCAAAAUUAAAAAAAAAAUCCGGAAGAUGAUCCAGUUCAUUGGUUUCCGAUUUUUUUAUUGUUUCUUUUUUAAAUUUCUUUUUGAAAAUCAAAGUUACAUGCCGAAUCUCAAUGUAUGAAAUGGCUCAAAGCUUUCGUGUUUCGAUUACAUCUGGAACAGAAGCUUGGAGGCAACCCCUCCUCCUAUGACUCUCCUCAAAGACUCCUAGUCUGUAGAACCCUAGGACUCUGAGUAGCACUGUUUGGAAACGACUGACCUUAUUUAUUGAAUGCAUUAGGAAAUCAUAAAAUGGAACCCAUAUCCAAA